AUUGAACGCUGGCGGCAUGCCUUACACAUGCAAGUCGAACGGCAGCACGGGUGCUUGCACCUGGUGGCGAGUGGCGAACGGGUGAGUAAUAUAUCGGAACGUACCUUAUUGUGGGGGAUAACGCAGCGAAAGCUGUGCUAAUACCGCAUAAUCCCUAAGGGGGAAAGCGGGGGACCGUAAGGCCUCGCGCAAUUAGAGCGGCCGAUACCUGAUUAGCUAGUUGGUGAGGUAAAGGCUCACCAAGGCAACGAUCAGUAGCUGGGCUGAGAGGACGAUCAGCCACACUGGGACUGAGACACGGCCCAGACUCCUACGGGAGGCAGCAGUGGGGAAUUUUGGACAAUGGGGGCAACCCUGAUCCAGCAAUGCCGCGUGAGUGAAGAAGGCCUUCGGGUUGUAAAGCUCUUUUGUCAGGGAAGAAACAGCAGCUCUAACACAGUUUGCGAAUGACGGUACCUGAAGAAUAAGCACCGGCUAACUACGUGCCAGCAGCCGCGGUAAGAC
rnacentral:rRNA from 1 species